CCUACGGGUGGCAGCAGUGGGGGAUAUUGCACAAUGGGGGGAACCCUGAUGCAGCGACGCCGCGUGGGUGAAGGAGCGUUUCGGCUCGUAAAGCCCUAUCGGCAGGGAAGAAGAUGACGGUACCUGGCUAAGAAGCCCCGGCUAACUACGUGCCAGCAGCCGCGGUAAUACGGAGGGGGCAAGCGGUAUACGGAUUUCCUGGGUGGAAAGGGGGCGCAGACGGCAAUGCAAGCCAGGAGUGAAAGCCCGGGGCCCAACCCCGGGACUGCUCUUGGAACUGCAUGGCUGGAGUACAGGAGGGGCAGGUGGAAGUCCUGGUGUAGCGGUGAAAUGCGUAGAUAGUAGGAGGAACACCGGUGGCGAAGGCGGCCUGCUGGACUGUGACUGACGUUGAGGCCCGAAGGCGUGGGGAGCAAACAGGAUUAGAUACCCGAGUAGUC
rnacentral:rRNA from 1 species